rnacentral:tRNA from 1 species
GGGGCCAUAGCUCAGUUGGGAGAGCAUCUGCUUUGCAAGCAGGAGGUCGGCGGUUCGAAACCGCCUGGCUCCA